rnacentral:rRNA from 1 species
CCCUUAGAUGUUCGGGGCCGCACGCGCGCUACACUGAAGGAAUCAGCACGUCUUUCUCCUUGUCCGAAAGGACUGGGUAACCCGCUGAACCUCCUUCGUGCUAGGGAUUGGGGCUUGUAAUUCUUCCCCAUGAACGAGGAAUUCCCAGUAAGCGCGAGUCAUAAGCUCGCGUUGAUUACGUCCCUGCCCUUUGUACACACCGCCCGUCGCUACUACCGAUUGGAUGGUUUAGUGAGAUCCUCGGAUUGGUCCCGGCGCGGCCUCUGGUCGCGCCGGAGUGCCGAAAAGAAUGUCGAACUUGAUCAUCUAGAGGAAGUAAAAGUCGUAACA